rnacentral:rRNA from 1 species
GGAAGUUAGGCUUGGUAGCAUGCCUAUACAUGCAAGUCGAACGCUUUGUGGUUCAACUGAUUUGAAGAGCUUGCUCAGAUAUGACGAUGGACAUUGCAAAGAGUGGCGAACGGGUGAGUAACACGUGGGAAACCUACCUCUUAGCAGGGGAUAACAUUUGGAAACAGAUGCUAAUACCGUAUAACAAUGACAACCGCAUGGUUGUUAUUUAAAAGAUGGUUCUGCUAUCACUAAGAGAUGGUCCCGCGGUGCAUUAGCUAGUUGGUAAGGUAAUGGCUUACCAAGGCGAUGAUGCAUAGCCGAGUUGAGAGACUGAUCGGCCACAAUGGGACUGAGACACGGCCCAUACUCCUACGGGAGGCAGCAGUAGGGAAUCUUCCACAAUGGGCGAAAGCCUGAUGGAGCAACGCCGCGUGUGUGAUGAAGGGUUUCGGCUCGUAAAACACUGUUGUAAGAGAAGAAUGACAUUGAGAGUAACUGUUCAAUGUGUGACGGUAUCUUACCAGAAAGGAACGGCUAAAUACGUGCCAGCAGCCGCGGUAAUACGUAUGUUCCAAGCGUUAUCCGGAUUUAUUGGGCGUAAAGCGAGCGCAGACGGUUAUUUAAGUCUGAAGUGAAAGCCCUCAGCUCAACUGAGGAAUUGCUUUGGAAACUGGAUGACUUGAGUGCAGUAGAGGAAAGUGGAACUCCAUGUGUAGCGGUGAAAUGCGUAGAUAUAUGGAAGAACACCAGUGGCGAAGGCGGCUUUCUGGACUGUAACUGACGUUGAGGCUCGAAAGUGUGGGUAGCAAACAGGAUUAGAUACCCUGGUAGUCCACACCGUAAACGAUGAGUGCUAGGUGUUUGAGGGUUUCCGCCCUUAAGUGCCGCAGCUAACGCAUUAAGCACUCCGCCUGGGGAGUACGACCGCAAGGUUGAAACUCAAAGGAAUUGACGGGGACCCGCACAAGCGGUGGAGCAUGUGGUUUAAUUCGAAGCAACGCGAAGAACCUUACCAGGUCUUGACAUCCCUUGACAACUCCAGAGAUGGAGCGUUCCCUUCGGGGACAAGGUGACAGGUGGUGCAUGGUUGUCGUCAGCUCGUGUCGUGAGAUGUUGGGUUAAGUCCCGCAACGAGCGCAACCCUUAUUACUAGUUGCCAGCAUUCAGUUGGGCACUCUAGUGAGACUGCCGGUGACAAACCGGAGGAAGGUGGGGAUGACGUCAAAUCAUCAUGCCCCUUAUGACCUGGGCUACACACGUGCUACAAUGGCGUAUACAACGAGUUGCCAACCCGCGAGGGUGAGCUAAUCUCUUAAAGUACGUCUCAGUUCGGAUUGUAGGCUGCAACUCGCCUACAUGAAGUCGGAAUCGCUAGUAAUCGCGGAUCAGCACGCCGCGGUGAAUACGUUCCCGGGUCUUGUACACACCGCCCGUCACACCAUGAGAGUUUGUAACACCCAAAGCCGGUGGGGUAACCUUCGGGAGCCAGCCGUCUAAGUGGACAGAUAUGG